GAAAAAAAUCUUCGCGCAUACGCAUUCACCUUCUUCAUCUACGCCACAGUGUGCUUUGGCCACGUGUCUGGAAAGAGGGAUUAAUCACGAUUCAUCCGCUGGAGUUAAGGUUGCUGCUUGUGGAAUUUGGAGCUGUGGAGAUUUGAGCUGUGCUCCAAAAGUGCAUGUAAAGAGUUCCCGAAUCGAAGUGAAGUGUGAAUGCAUCCUUCAAGCUGUGAUUAUAUACCUGAAUGAGAACCCUCAAAAUAUCAUCAAAGAGUACAUGGAUUUCAACGUGAUGGAAGCUGAAGAGCUCGAAAGGAUGGAUUUGGGGUGUUUAUAAAAUAAUCCACGAAGGAGCACAGCCUGAUGACUCCCUUGAAGAUGUUGGCAUCAUUAUCGAGAGAUGCACCGUCUUGCAGGAUCUUCACAAUG